rnacentral:lncRNA from 1 species
AGAUUAAAAUUACAAGUAGUUUCUGGAUGGAAGAGCAGACUGGCUGAAACAUCUGCCUCCUUAUUGAUCGUCAGGGUGGCUCUACAUGGUGUGGCUUGCUGAACCAGUACCUCUUUCCUUUUUGAUCUCCCCACCUGCAUCUCUCCCAAAUUGCUGUUCUGUAACCUUCCUACCCAGAUUCACAUUGACAUGGAUAGCUGGAAUGCUAGAAAUGAAUGAUAAUAUUGUAGGGGCUCUGGCUUGCAAGAGACCUGAAUGUCCUUACACAUACCCAAAGGCUGUCCACAUCCCCUCUGCUGCCUGAAGCCUAAGCAGAAAUUCAGUUCUUUUUAACAGGGUUAACACAGUUAACACAGAGGGAUGGCAAUGGAGAGAAAUGGGCACUGAUAUCCCAACUACAUGGUGCUCGCUAGGCCACAGGUCCUAGUGGGGGGCUGGGCCUGUAUGUUUCUAGUUCAAAAUAAAAUGUCCUGUGGGCUAGUGUGAGGUCUGAGCCAUAAUUUGACAUACAGGGGAGAGGCUGGCCCUUUUGUUCUCUCUAAUAUUCCUCUACUCACAAUGAAGCAUAAAGUAGUACAUAUACACUUUCGGUAAGUAAUUUUAAAGUGCACACUCUUGAGGUUACAGCCAGUUAAACAGAUUAAAUUUCUUUUUUUUUUUUUUUUUUUUUUUUUUUGAGACAGUGUCUCCCUCCAUUACCCAGGCUGGAGUACAGUGGCAUGAUCACAGCUCACUGUAACCUCGACCUCUCAGACUCAGGUGAUCCUCCCACCUCAGCCUCCCAAGUAGCUGGAGCUAGAGGCAUGCACUGCCAUGCCCAGCUAAUGUUUGUAUUACUUGUAGAGACAGGGUUUUGCCAUGUUGCCUACUCUGGUCUUCAACUCCUGAACUCCAGUGAGUCUCCCACCUCUGCCUCUCAAAGUGCAGGGAUUACAGGUGUGAGCCACCACGCUCAGCCUGGCACAUUACAUUUCCACAAGAUAAUUAAUUAGACUAUUUUUGUAUAGAUUAAUACAAGUGUGGCUUCUUUCCUGAGCUUCUCUCUCCCUCUGUCUCCCUUUCUUUCCCCUCUACUCGCAUUUCUUCCCCACUCAGUAUUUCUCUCUUUCUACCGCUGGAUCUCAACUCUAAGACCUUGAAAAAAACAAAAUUAUUUCUGCCUGGGCUUUUGAUACAAUCCUCAAAUUCGGGUUGAAACAGUUUUCUCUGUGGCCAUCUGCCACCCAAGCUGUUUUCAUUCCUCCCUGAAUUCUCAUUUCUAAAACAAGGGAGGGACCAAGGGCAUAUGCUGCCAGCUCUCUGAACUCAUCCCUUUGACUCCAGUAUGCACUAGGCUUUUUGUGGCUGGCUUCUGGUCACCUCACCUCCUUCCCCCAGGCAUCUUCCUUCUUGAAUUGCAUGAUCAGGAGUCUAUUAGGAGUCACCCUAUCUCAAGGUAUUUUUCCCUCUAUUAUUCCACCAAUAAACUGUCAACUUUUUACUCUUUCUAUACAUAGCUUCU